rnacentral:rRNA from 1 species
AAGUCGAGUAACAGGAAACAGCUUGCUGUUUCGCUGACGAGUGGCGGACGGGUGAGUAAUGUCUGGGAAACUGCCUGAUGGAGGGGGAUAACUACUGGAAACGGUAGCUAAUACCGCAUAACGUCGCAAGACCAAAGAGGGGGACCUUCGGGCCUCUUGCCAUCGGAUGUGCCCAGAUGGGAUUAGCUUGUUGGUGGGGUAACGGCUCACCUAGGCGACGAUCCCUAGCUGGUCUGAGAGGAUGACCAGCCACACUGGAACUGAGACACGGUCCAGACUCCUACGGGAGGCAGCAGUGGGGAAUAUUGCACAAUGGGCGCAAGCCUGAUGCAGCCAUGCCGCGUGUAUGAAGAAGGCCUUCGGGUUGUAAAGUACUUUCAGCGGGGAGGAAGGGAGUAAAGUUAAUACCUUUGCUCAUUGACGUUACCCGCAGAAGAAGCACCGGCUAACUCCGUGCCAGCAGCCGCGGUAAUACGGAGGGUGCAAGCGUUAAUCGGAAUUACUGGGCGUAAAGCGCACGCAGGCGGUUUGUUAAGUCAGAUGUGAAAUCCCCGGGCUCAACCUGGGAACUGCAUCUGAUACUGGCAAGCUUGAGUCUCGUAGAGGGGG